rnacentral:lncRNA from 1 species
CACCAAAAAGUUACGCAGAAGAUUCAUCUGCCGGGCUGGGCUCUUAGGAAUCUGUCCAGGUGCCCCAGUGGAAUCAGCCCGAGUGUCUUCGUUCCUGAUAAGUGCUUUCCUGGGAAGCAUUUAGCACAUCCUGAACCAAGCACAGGCACCGAAUGUGGAGAUCAAUUAUGCAGCUACAGCCAAAACCAAGCUCUCUUUAUUGCAAUGGUAAUGAAAGUAGCUCCAUAUGAAAAGGAGAGAGGGAGACAGAGAUUGAGAAAGUCCAAGAAAACAGGAAGAGAAGUGAGACAGAGGAGGCCACAGACCACGUCAGAAGAUCCCGCCCGCAGCAGGUAGCAGAAUCAGUCGUGACCUCCUCGCCCGCCGAGGGGCUCGGGGAUUCCCCGUGACUUAAAGGUGCCCUCCUUGACUUUCUUGCUGACGACAAUGUAGCCUGCUCCACAGGGGCAAUUUAGAGGUUUCCCACGUGCUGAGCUGGUUUUCAAGCUUCAUUUGGAGCUUGCUGACACGAUCACAGACACCUGGAAGUCCCUUUGAGAAAGGAGCUAUGCUGGCUGGUUUUAGCCCACAGUCUCUGAACACAAUUUGGUAUUGACUAUGUGUCUAUCUGUCUGUCUAUCUAUCUAUCUAUCUGUCUAUCUAUCUGUCU